AGACGACAACGACUGCCAUGUUUGGAAGUGGUGGGAUGUGGCCGUUACGGAGGAGUUGAGUGACAUUCAGACACAACUUAGGCAGCUCAAGGACCAAGGUAACGAGAGUGAGGAGAAAGUGGUUAAGCUUAAGGAGACAGUUUGUGAGCUAGCUAAGAAGAAUUCAGGGGUUACCACGGGCUUCCACUUGCUUUGUUGUUUAAUUGGUGGUCUCGUAAUAGCUCUCCUGCUUAUGUGUCUGCCGGGGGCAGGGUCCAAAGCUUGAAGCGGGAGUGUCUCACCUCGACACUGUGUAUAUAAAAGGGUCACGGGUGCAUUUUAGACUUGUCACAUUUUGAGGACAUGUGAAGCCAGCUCACGGGUGAAGUAAGCUCACGGGUUCCUCUGUCAUGACUUGUCCUUUCAUCUCUAAUUUGGCCUUAUGUACUUCUAUAAGUUGGCGUAAAGCCUCGGUUUAGGUAGCACUUGUAGUUCACUUGUUUCUUUAGCUUUCUGUGUACUUGAAAACCGUUGUAUUGGCGUGAAGCCUCGGCUUGUAUUGACAUAACUCCAGCA